GUAGCUCAGGGGAUAGAGCAACGGUUUCCUAAAUCGAUCACGCGGGUUUUCCCGCCCGCG
rnacentral:tRNA from 1 species